AAUACUACUUUUCCCAGAAGUCUGAGUUGUCGCUUAUGAUCACGUGAGUUUGAAUAAAACGCCAACACGUGGGUUUCCUCCCUCCGUGUUGUUGGUUUCCUCUUGAAGGUGAAUCGUCUAGCUAGCGUGUCCCACCGGCCUCCAAACAAAUUAAGCCAGAAGAUGUCAACUGUGUGUGCAGCUAGCGUGGAGCCUGCUGCUCCUGUGACUGAGGCCACAGAGCAGAAGAAGCCACUGAAACCAUGCUGUGCUUGUCCAGAGACGAAGAAAGUCAGGGAUGCUUGUAUCAUUGAAAAGGGAGAGGAGAGCUGCACAGACCUGAUUGAGGCCCACAAAGAUUGCAUGAGGGCACUUGGAUUCAAGAUUUAACUACUCCAUUGUGUGUGUGUGUGUGGUAUGUAUCAAGUCCAAUCAUCACAUGCGCACACUUGCACAGUUUGUGCUGUGGAAGACUAUCCUGGAUACCCCACCACUGCCCCCCCCCCCAUUUAUACCUCAACAGGAAGGGACAUGUGGUGAUGCACUUAAUGGCUCUGAUGGGUUUAUUGUCUUUCUGUGAAAUUGUUUUUUAACGUCUUCAGAAUUUGAGAAAUAUGUGUAUCUAAAAUUUAAUAAAAGUCCUAUGCAAUA